CCUACGGGAGGCAGCAGUAGGGAAUCUUCGGCAAUGGGGUGAACCCUGACCGAGCAACGCCGCGUGAGCGAAGAAGUUAUUCGUAAUGUAAAGUUCUUUUAACAGGGAAGAAAGAGAAAUUUGACGGUACCUGAAGAAUAAGCCCCGGCCAACUACGUGCCAGCAGCCGCGGUAAUACGUAGGGAGCGAGCGUUAUCCGGAAUUAUUGGGCGUAAAGGGUGCGUAGAUGGCAUAGUAAGUCUGUUGUAAAAAUGCUGGGCUCAACCCAGUAGGGCAAAAGAUACUGCAACGCUAGAGUAUGACAGAGGCAAGUGGAACGACAUGUGUAGCGGUAAAAUGCGUAGAUAUAUGUAAGAACACCAGUGGCGAAGGCAGCAUGCUGGGUCGAUACUGACAUUGAGGCACGAAAGCGUGGGGAGCGAACAGGAUUAGAUACCCUUGUAGUC
rnacentral:rRNA from 1 species